AUGGAGAAUAGCGCCGGCUUCCUCCUUCCAGAUCUUUGCAUAGCUCGUCCUCCUGGCCGACCUCGCAUGUGCGCCGCCACCUUGCUGCCAUCCCGGCGAGCGUUCCGACAGCCGCCGCUUGCCUCUUCAUUCUCCGCCUCCGCCUGCUUCCGUGACGUCGCCUCCAAUAUUCGUUUUAGAACCUCUCCGGAUCUCCCAAUAUUUUUCAGGUUUCUUGGACUUAGAUAA
rnacentral:rRNA from 1 species